AGAGUUUGAUCAUGGCUCAGAAUCAACGCUGGCGGCGCGCCUAACACAUGCAAGUCGAACGAGAAAGGGGAGCAAUCCCUGAGUACAGUGGCGUACGGGUGAGUAACACGUGGGUAAUCUGCCCUUUGGUGGGGAAUAACCCUGGGAAACCGGGGCUAAUACCGCAUAAGUCCGAGAGGAGAAAGCAGCAAUGCGCCGAAGGAGGAGCCCGCGGCCGAUUAGCUAGUUGGUAGGGUAAAAGCCUACCAAGGCAAAGAUCGGUAGCCGGCCUGAGAGGGCACACGGCCACACUGGCACUGAAACACGGGCCAGACUCCUACGGGAGGCAGCAGUGGGGAAUCUUGCACAAUGGGGGAAACCCUGAUGCAGCGACGCCGCGUGAGCGAUGAAGCCCUUCGGGGUGUAAAGCUCUUUCGGCAGGGAAGAUGAUGACGGUACCUGCAGAAGCAGCUGCGGCUAACUACGUGCCAGCAGCCGCGGUAAUACGUAGGCAGCAAGCGUUGUUCGGAGUUACUGGGCGUAAAGGGUGUGUAGGCGGUUUGGUAAGUCUGGUGUGAAAUCUCCCGGCUCAACUGGGAGGGUGCGCCGGAAACUGCCGGACUCGAGUGCGGGAGAGGAGAGUGGAAUUCCUGGUGUAGCGGUGAAAUGCGUAGAUAUCAGGAGGAACACCGGUGGUGUAGACGGCUCUCUGGACCGUAACUGACGCUGAAACACGAAAGCGUGAGUAGCAAACAGGAUUAGAUACCCUGGUAGUCCACGCCCUAAACGAUGCAUAUUUGGUGUGGGUCAUUCAGUUGAUCCGUGCCGGAGCUAACGCGUUAAAUAUGCCGCCUGGGGAGUACAGUCGCAAGGCUGAAACUCAAAGGAAUUGACGGGGGCCCGCACAAGCGGUGGAGCAUGUGGUUCAAUUCGACGCAA
rnacentral:rRNA from 1 species